CUUGUUCUUGGUAUGAGUUAUGUUGUGCUUUAAUCAACAACCCAUUCCCGUAUUCUUGCCUGUAGAAUUCCAUGAAUAGAGGAGCUUGCUGGAUUACAGUCUAUUGGGGUCGCAAAGAGUCAGACACAACUGAAGCAACUGACACUUUAAUCAAUAAAGGUUUCACUCAUGGAGGAACCAAAGCUUAUGGAGGUUGAAGGAAGUUGUCAAAUAUCUUGUCUGCCACAUCCCUCAGGGACUGUGAUUUUGGGGAGCAAGGAACUUUUCUCCAAUGUCCUUGAUUCCAAGUGGAGACAGCUGCAAACUGUGUAUGUCUUUGCCCCUCAUUCGCUCCUCCUUUGGGGAGGUGUGAAUUAAUGGGCAAUUUUGGAAGAACUGGGUAAGGGUAGCUCAUUCCUUCUCUCUGUUGUUCUUCUUUGGGAGUGAGUCUGUACACAGAAUGUGCCCUCAACUUUUCUCUGCUCUUCUGAAAGCUGCGUGGUAAAGGAGGGCCCUGCCUCCAUGGGGCCGUGGGCAGGAACUGGCAGAGGGAGCUGACCUAAUCCUGGCUUCAGUGUGUAAGUAUGUAAGCCCAUUCGCCUGCAGAUGUAAGUUGCAUUCUCAAAUUACAGCUUUAUCAGUGGUAAUCUUGUUAUUUCACUAGUGUAUUCCCUUCUUCUAAUUUCUCAGUUAAUGGAAAACCUGGGUAAGAGAGAGGGUUUCUAUUUGUCAAGCUUUUUCCACACCCCAAUAGCUUAUGAAUCGAGAACGAUGAAUGGAUAAUAUUUCUUCAUCAAAUUGUUGGAAACCAGCUUUUUACUAAAUUCGAACACUUGUAAAUGCCUUUAUAAUCUACAUAUCUAUGCUUCAUGGCUGUCUGAUAUUAUAUUUGUAUUCUGAUUUAUACUUUCUGUAGUUCUGAUUUUUUAAAUUUAUGAUGAAUUAUUUUAUGUGCUUUCUAUAUGCCACUUCAAAUAUUUUUGUGGAAUUAGGCCAAGUUUAAAUCAUAUAAUACUUCUGUGAUAUACUGACAGACUUGAAAGAUGGCUGGCUGUAGAAAAUGAAGGAGAGAAAUUAAUUAGAAGUGUGUCGAAGUCUCAUCUAAAUGACUCUAAGAAGGUGGCAUCGCUGUGAGACGUCAGUAACCUCGAUCUCACAGAUUGAGGAUGAUGGUUUUCAAGUGAACAAGGGACAUCUGAGUGAAAUAACAAGAAGAUGGGGCAUUAGAGAGGAGCUCAGGUUAAUGAAAGAAUGAGAACAAAUUGAUAAAAGCGUGUGAAUAGGGAGGGGGAGGGGGGAGAGAGAAAAUAACUCUAUGCGUUGGAGGAAUGUCCAUAGUUGAUGUAAAUAAAGAGGAAGCAUGACUAGAGAAUAAAGUGAGCAGGAAUCAGAGAAAGUUAUGUUUCUGAAACCUUGGGAAUGAUCAGGUAAUGUCAACUGCAAAGGGAAGUUUUAGGAGAAUGAUGCUUGUAAGCCCAUUGCUAGGCAACAGUCUCUUUGAGGGAUCUAUUUUAUCUUUCAAUAAUUUGUUUACCCCAUUCCAGAAACGUUUGUAUAGUGCCCAGCAUAAUGCUAUAUCAUAUGUGCUUGGACUGGAUAAGAACUAACCACAGGAUUCGAUGAAUGAAUCUAGCAGGCUGGUGUGUUCUGUAGGGUGGUUCUUCCUAUAUGACGCUUCUCUUACACUGGAUGGAUGGCUGUGUGUGAAUACAGUACGUGGGUACAUAUGGCUGGAGUGUAUGUAUAUAGCCAAGGAAGGGAGUAUAUAGCCAAGCUGACCCCUCUCCUGGAUGGUUAAAUAAGAAGCACCUCGUUAUGUGGUAUCUCAUCCACGCUGGGAACCCUGCCCUUUCCAGGCAUAUUGUGCAAUUUGUUUAGAGAGUGUUUCUUUGAUUUUAGUCUAUGGCAAAAUAUUGCUGUUACCAGUCACUUUGCACAUGUGGAAGUGGUGGUGGGUAGUGGAGGACGGGCUGCUGGGAUGGCUGUUCUAGAUACUGUACUUCGAUCACCUGAAUUCUGCCCCCUUCCCACUCUAAUUCAAGCGUUGGGGCUUCUCUGGAGCUGACCUUAUCUUCUCCGUAUAUAUAUAUUUUAAUUUUAUUACUGGAGUGUAAUUGUUUUACAAUGUUGUUGGAUUCUGCUGUACAACAAAGUGAACCAGCCAUAUGUGUACAUAUCCUCUGUUCUUUUCAUUUUGUUUUGUUUCCUCUGUAUAUUCUGGACUGCAGUCUGUCCCCCCCAGUUCCUUCUUUUCCAUCUACAUAAUUCCACCUGCUUUCUGUUUUUCAGAAAUCAUUCAAAUCCAUUAAUGUCACUCUCCCUCUUAGAGCUGCUAUGAAUUUGUUGUCUUUUUGAAUAAAUUGUCAUUCAAUUAGAUCUUUGCAGGAAGGUAUGGUAAAUAUAUGAUGUGUUCUCUGCCAUCUUGAACUGGCAGUCAGUUCUCAAUUUAAAAAUAUAUUGACAAGACUCUUACUUUUUAAAA
ensembl:lncRNA